UUGAUUAGUAUCAAUGUAGCUGUCUCAGAAAAUAAAUAUUUGUUUGCUUUCACAUUAAUUUCAAGUGCUAUUUUGAGUAUGCUUUUUGAUAGGUUGCCACCUACAUGUAGAAAAUUGAAUAUUCCACAGCACCUAGGCGAGGGAUCAUCAACCUGCGGCUCUAAAGCCACAUGUGGCUCUCUGGCCCCUCCACUGUGGCUCUUAUAAGAGCAAGUUGGUUGCCCAUCUUUCCUAAUUUUGCAUUUUUAUGGAAAGGACUCACUUAGCUGGCUUCAUUUUAACGAAUACUUUUUGCCAUUCUAAAGGCUCUAGACACGUUUUGUAGGGGAAAAGAGGCACUUUGAACUGAAAAGGAUGUUGACCCCUGACCUAAGCCAUGAGGUCAACACAAAACAAAUACAGAAAAAAUUAUUGACAGAAAAAUGGAACGGUUACUUUCAAGAGGCUACAGAUGCUCCUGUCACUCCAUUUCCCAGGUCAUCAUAGAACUCCGACACAGAUGGAGCUCUCCUGCAGUAUGCAGUGUAAUGCCCCAAACCACCACUAGUCAUCUUUCCAUGGAAAGCAAUUAAUGCCCUCAAAGUGAACGACUUUCCUUGGAGAACCAGG
ensembl:lncRNA